rnacentral:rRNA from 1 species
AGAAUCAACGCUGGCGGCGUGCCUAACACAUGCAAGUCGAACGAGAAAGUGGAGCAAUCCAUGAGUAAAGUGGCGACCGGGUGAGUAACACGUGACUAACCUACCUUCAAGUGGGGGAUAACCUCGGGAAACCGGGGCUAAUACCGCAUAACAUCUUUGGAGUGGAAAUUCUGGAGAUCAAAGGAGCAAUUCGCUGGAAGAGGGGGUCGCGGCAGAUUAGUUAGUUGGCGGGGUAAUGGCCCACCAAGACGAUGAUCGGUA